CAGCAGCCGCGGUAAGACGAAGGAUGCAAGCGUUAUCCGGAUUCAUUGGGUUUAAAGGGAGCGUAGGUGGCCUUAUAAGUCAGUGGUGAAAGACCCCGGCUCAACCGGGGCAGUGCCAUUGAUACUGGGGAGCUUGAGUGUUGGAGGGGUACAUGGAAUUGAUGGUGUAGCGGUGAAAUGCAUAGAUACCAUCAGGAACACCGAUAGCGAAGGCAUUGUACUGGCCAACAACUGACGCUGAGGCACGAAAGCAUGGGUAGCG
rnacentral:rRNA from 1 species